UACGUAGGGUGCGAGCGUUGUCCGGAAUUAUUGGGCGUAAAGAGCUCGUAGGCGGUUUGUCGCGUCGGCCGUGAAAACUUGGGGCUUAACCCCAAGCCUGCGGUCGAUACGGGCAGACUUGAGUUCGGCAGGGGAGACUGGAAUUCCUGGUGUAGCGGUGAAAUGCGUAGAUAUCUGGAGGAACACCGGUGGCGAAGGCGGCAUCCUGGACCGGUAUUGACGCUGAGGCGCGAAAGCCAGGGGAGCAAAGCGGG
rnacentral:rRNA from 1 species